rnacentral:rRNA from 1 species
AUAACCCCGGGAAACUGGGGAUAAUUCUGGAUAACGCACAUAUGCUGGAAUGCUUUAUGCGUAAAAUGGAUUCGUCUGCCCAAGGAUGGGUCUGCGGCCUAUCAGGUAGUAGUGGGUGUAAUGUACCUACUAGCCAACAACGGGUACGGGUUGUGAGAGCAAGAGCCCGGAGAUGGAUUCUGAGACAUGAAUCCAGGCCCUACGGGGCGCAGCAGGCGCGAAAACUUUACAAUGCGGGAAACCGUGAUAAGGGGACACCGAGUGCCAGCAUCAUAUGCUGGCUGUCCAGGUGUGUAAACUACACCUGUUAGCAAGGGCCGGGCAAGACCGGUGCCAGCCGCCGCGGUAACACCGGCGGCCCGAGUGGUGAUCGUGAUUAUUGGGUCUAAAGGGUCCGUAGCCGGUUUGGUCAGUCCUCCGGGAAAUCUGAUAGCUCAACUAUUAGGCUUUCGGGGGAUACUGCCAGGCUUGGAACCGGGAGAGGUAAGAGGUACUACAGGGGUAGGAGUGAAAUCUUGUAAUCCCUGUGGGACCACCUGUGGCGAAGGCGUCUUACCAGAACGGGUUCGACGGUGAGGGACGAAAGCUGGGGGCACGAACCGGAUUAGAUACCCGGGUAGUCCCAGCCGUAAACGAUGCUCGCUAGGUGUCAGGCAUGGCGCGACCGUGUCUGGUGCCGCAGGGAAGCCGUGAAGCGAGCCAC